UACGUAGGUGGCGAGCGUUGUCCGGAUUUACUGGGUGUAAAGGGAGCGUAGGCGGACUUUUAAGUGAGAUGUGAAAUACUCGGGCUCAACUUGAGUGCUGCAUUUCAAACUGGAAGUCUAGAGUGCAGGAGAGGAGAAUGGAAUUCCUAGUGUAGCGGUGAAAUGCGUAGAGAUUAGGAAGAACACCAGUGGCGAAGGCGAUUCUCUGGACUGUAACUGACGCUGAGGCUCGAAAGCGUGGGGAGCAAACAGG
rnacentral:rRNA from 1 species